AUGACUGUGAUUCAAAGCAGGGCUACCUUCCUUCCCACCCCUGUAGAGACCAUGGUGAAGUGGAUUUUUAACUCCUCCUUUGCCACGCACCACACGCAUCACCUCCAAGAGAGCUGAGUACAGUGUUAAGACAGUUACACUAUGCUUCGGAGCUGUGUUCACUGCUGCUUCUUUUGGCCCAUGAACAGUUUGUUAGAUCAGGCUGAAUCCUGCAUGGAAGACGGUCAAUGAAAAACCAGUGCGUAGACUGCCAUCUACUGGACAACCAGAAAACAAACUGCUGAGUCGCCCUAGGACCUUGAGCAACAAAGGCAAAAAGGCAAAAUUAUGAAUACAUCAGUGGAACAGACAGGAGCAUGUAGGCACAACAAUGGUCCAGUUUGAAAUGAUUAUUUGCAAAAGAGUGUACAUUUCUACUUUCAAUGUUUGUACAGAGUCACUGGAGUUAUGACAAUAAAAUGAUUUUCAAAUUGUGAUUCCUUGAUACACCCAGGGAGCAGAGACGACUCAGAACUUCUAGUGACAUAUCAAAAACAGAUAUGAGGAAUGUUCCCUUCCCCAGAAUAAGAACAGAACGGUAUUCUCUUUAAUCACCAUGUUAUGAAGGUGUACAUGCUAAGCCUGGGGACCAUUCUGCCCAGUAAAGAGAACUUAGUACUCUCUAAGGACUUAGGCUCAGUCACACACUGGAUUACUAAUAAACACCCGUCUUUACUUCAGAAGCUACUGUCAGGUUUUGCAACACCUUGUGGCCAUUUUUUAAAUUAUUAUUUGUAAUAUUACUAUCAAAACUGUCACGAGCUGAGCUUUCCACCCACUGUUCCUCUAGAUAACACAGGGUGGUCAUUUGAAUAGAAGGGAAAUCACAAAGAUUUCACACCAAAGUGUACAAAGUAGCUAGGGACACAUAUAGACCUGCCAUUCUUUUUGGGACCUACAAUAAUUUUAUAAUAAGGUAGAAGUUUGAAGGCCUAGCUGUAGAAGAGAUGAUAUUAAUUACAGAUUAUAACCAGCCUUAAUAAAUUACAUUUUAUUUGCUUAUUUCAAUAAAAUGAACAGGCAUCUUGCUUAGAGAGACACUUUACACACUUGUGUAAAGUGUCACUCCCAGGAACCUCAGAUCUUAGAGGAGUGUGUGUGUGUGUGUGUGUGUGUGUGUGUGUGUGUGUGUGUGUGUGUGAAUUUACAUGUAUAUAUGUUAGAAAAAUGACAAUGGUCUAAUUCUCUUUGGUGAAGCCAACAAAAGAAAUCAUAACAGAUUACAUACUAAGAAAAGAUUUAGAUGGGUAGGUUUCAUUUCAGCCACAAGAACACAAAAUAAAAUAAUCUAGUGAUAAAUAAUAAGGAAUGAAUGAAAAAGAUGAUGUUCAUAUUCAAAGUCCCUUAGCGUUGUCCAUAUAGACUUUUCAUCAAUUUUUUUAGCUAUGUAUAUUCUUCAUAGGGUAAUUGUUCUCAAGUGUGUCUUGUACUCUGGCCAGAUAAAAAGCCUGGAUUGUAAGAGUGAUUCAUAAAAUCUAAUAAAACUAUUCAGGUAUUUUUAUCUUC